rnacentral:rRNA from 1 species
GAUGAACGCUGGCGGCGUGCCUAAUACAUGCAAGUCGAGCGAACAGACGAGGAGCUUGCUCCUCUGACGUUAGCGGCGGACGGGUGAGUAACACGUGGAUAACCUACCUAUAAGACUGGGAUAACUUCGGGAAACCGGAGCUAAUACCGGAUAAUAUAUUGAACCGCAUGGUUCAAUAGUGAAAGACGGUUUUGCUGUCACUUAUAGAUGGAUCCGCGCCGCAUUAGCUAGUUGGUAAGGUAACGGCUUACCAAAGCAACGAUGCGUAGCCGACCUGAGAGGGUGAUCGGCCACACAGGAACUGAGACACGGUCCAGACUCCUACGGGAGGCAGCAGUAGGGAAUCUUCCGCAAUGGGCGAAAGCUUGACGGAGCAGCGCCGCGUGAGUGAUGAAGGUCUUCGGAUCGUAAAACUCUGUUAUUAGGGAAGAACAAAUGUGUAAGUAACUAUGCACGUCUUGAGGGUACCUAAUCAGAAAGCCACGGCUAACUACGUG